rnacentral:rRNA from 1 species
CCCUUAGAUGUUCUGGGCCGCACGCGCGCUACACUGGCUGACUCAACAUGUUUUAUAUCAUUUUGAUAUUUUCGCUUGGUUGAGAUGCCUGGCUAAUCAUUUAAAUGUCAGCCGUGAUGGGGCUAGAGUUUUGCAAUUAUGACUCUCUAACGAGGAAUUCCUAGUAUGGUCAAGUCAUCAGCUUGUCCAGAUUACGUCCCUGCCCUUUGUACACACCGCCCGUCGACUCUACCGAUUGAAUGGUUCGGUGAAAACUUUGGACUGUGGCAUUGUCCUUCAUUGGACUUCGCCGUAGGAAAUUGUUUAAACCUCAUCAUUUAGAGGAAGAAUAAGUCGUAACA